rnacentral:rRNA from 1 species
UACGUAGGCAGCGAGCGUUGUUCGGAGUUACUGGGCGUAAAGAGUGCGUAGGCGGUUUUCUAAGUUUGGUGUGAAAUCUCCCGGCUUAACUAGGAGGGUGCGCCGAAGACUGGAAGGCUUGAGUAUGGGAGAGGUAAGCGGAAUUCCUGGUGUAGCGGUGAAAUGCGUAGAUAUCAGGAGGAACACCUGCGGUGUAGACGGCUUACUGGACCAUCACUGACGCUGAGGCACGAAAGCGUGGGUAGCAAACAGG